AAAUUGAAGAGUUUGAUCAUGGCUCAGAUUGAACGCUGGCGGCAGGCCUAACACAUGCAAGUCGAGCGGUAGCACAGAGAGCUUGCUCUCGGGUGACGAGCGGCGGACGGGUGAGUAAUGUCUGGGAAACUGCCUGAUGGAGGGGGAUAACUACUGGAAACGGUAGCUAAUACCGCAUAAUGUCGCAAGACCAAAGUGGGGGACCUUCGGGCCUCAUGCCAUCAGAUGUGCCCAGAUGGGAUUAGCUAGUAGGUGGGGUAAUGGCUCACCUAGGCGACGAUCCCUAGCUGGUCUGAGAGGAUGACCAGCCACACUGGAACUGAGACACGGUCCAGACUCCUACGGGAGGCAGCAGUGGGGAAUAUUGCACAAUGGGCGCAAGCCUGAUGCAGCCAUGCCGCGUGUGUGAAGAAGGCCUUCGGGUUGUAAAGCACUUUCAGCGGGGAGGAAGGCGUUAAGGUUAAUAACCUUGGCGAUUGACGUUACCCGCAGAAGAAGCACCGGCUAACUCCGUGCCAGCAGCCGCGGUAAUACGGAGGGUGCAAGCGUUAAUCGGAAUUACUGGGCGUAAAGCGCACGCAGGCGGUCUGUCAAGUCGGAUGUGAAAUCCCCGGGCUCAACCUGGGAACUGCAUUCGAAACUGGCAGGCUAGAGUCUUGUAGAGGGGGGUAGAAUUCCAGGUGUAGCGGUGAAAUGCGUAGAGAUCUGGAGGAAUACCGGUGGCGAAGGCGGCCCCCUGGACAAAGACUGACGCUCAGGUGCGAAAGCGUGGGGAGCAAACAGGAUUAGAUACCCUGGUAGUCCACGCCGUAAACGAUGUCGAUUUGGAGGUUGUGCCCUUGAGGCGUGGCUUCCGGAGCUAACGCGUUAAAUCGACCGCCUGGGGAGUACGGCCGCAAGGUUAAAACUCAAAUGAAUUGACGGGGGCCCGCACAAGCGGUGGAGCAUGUGGUUUAAUUCGAUGCAACGCGAAGAACCUUACCUGGUCUUGACAUCCACAGAACUUUCCAGAGAUGGAUUGGUGCCUUCGGGAACUGUGAGACAGGUGCUGCAUGGCUGUCGUCAGCUCGUGUUGUGAAAUGUUGGGUUAAGUCCCGCAACGAGCGCAACCCUUAUCCUUUGUUGCCAGCGGUUAGGCCGGGAACUCAAAGGAGACUGCCAGUGAUAAACUGGAGGAAGGUGGGGAUGACGUCAAGUCAUCAUGGCCCUUACGACCAGGGCUACACACGUGCUACAAUGGCAUAUACAAAGAGAAGCGACCUCGCGAGAGCAAGCGGACCUCAUAAAGUAUGUCGUAGUCCGGAUUGGAGUCUGCAACUCGACUCCAUGAAGUCGGAAUCGCUAGUAAUCGUAGAUCAGAAUGCUACGGUGAAUACGUUCCCGGGCCUUGUACACACCGCCCGUCACACCAUGGGAGUGGGUUGCAAAAGAAGUAGGUAGCUUAACCUUCGGGAGGGCGCUUACCACUUUGUGAUUCAUGACUGGGGUGAAGUCGUAACAAGGUAACCGUAGGGGAACCUGCGGUUGGAUCACCUCCUUA
rnacentral:rRNA from 1 species